rnacentral:rRNA from 1 species
UGGGGAAUAUUGGACAAUGGGCGCAAGCCUGAUCCAGCCAUGCCGCGUGUGUGAAGAAGGCCUUUUGGUUGUAAAGCACUUUAAGCGAGGAGGAGGCUACUUGGAUUAAUACUCUAGGAUAGUGGACGUUACUCGCAGAAUAAGCACCGGCUAACUCUGUGCCAGCAGCCGCGGUAAUACAGAGGGUGCGAGCGUUAAUCGGAUUUACUGGGCGUAAAGCGUGCGUAGGCGGCUUUUUAAGUCGGAUGUGAAAUCCCUGAGCUUAACUUAGGAAUUGCAUUCGAUACUGGGAAGCUAGAGUAUGGGAGAGGAUGGUAGAAUUCCAGGUGUAGCGGUGAGAUGCGUAGAGAUCUGGAGGAAUACCGAUGGCGAAGGCAGCCAUCUGGCCUAAUACUGACGCUGAGGUACGAAAGCAUGGGGAGCAAACAGG